rnacentral:rRNA from 1 species
UAGGGAAUAUUAGUAAUGGGCGAAAGCCUGAACUAGCAACGCCGCGUGUGCGAAGAAGGCCUUCGGGUUGUAAAGCACUUUUUGAGAGGAUGAGGAAGGACGGUACUCUCAGAAUAAGUCUCGGCUAACUACGUGCCAGCAGCCGCGGUAACACGUAGGAGGCGAACGUUAUCCGGAUUUACUGGGCGUAAAGCGCGUGUAGGUGGUUUGGUAAGUAGGGCGUGAAAGCUCCUGGCUCAACUGGGAGAGGCCGUUCUGAACUGCCGAACUAGAGGAUGGUAGGGGGAGGUGGAAUUCCGGGUGUAGCGGUGGAAUGCGCAGAUAUCCGGGGGAACACCAGUAGCGAAAGCGGCCUCCUGGACCAUUCCUGACACUCAGACGCGAAAGCUAGGGUAGCAAACGG